ACGCUCGACACCUACGGGGGGCAGCAGUAGGGAAUCUUCCACAAUGGGCGCAAGCCUGAUGGAGCAACACCGCGUGAGUGAAGAAGGGUUUCGGCUCGUAAAGCUCUGUUGUUGGAGAAGAACGUGCGUGAGAGUAACUGUUCACGCAGUGACGGUAUCCAACCAGAAAGUCACGGCUAACUACGUGCCAGCAGCCGCGGUAAUCUGAGGCGGGCGUGGACGAAGGC
rnacentral:rRNA from 1 species